UACGAGGGGGCAAGCGUUGUUCGGAAUUAUUGGGCGUAAAGGGCGCGUAGGUGGCGCCGUAAGUCGGGUGUGAAAUUUCGGAGCUUAACUCCGAAACUGCAUUCGAUACUGCGGUGCUUGAGGACUGGAGAGGAGACUGGAAUUCAUGGUGUAGCAGUGAAAUGCGUAGAGAUCAUGAGGAAGACCAGUGGCGAAGGCGGGUCUCUGGACAGUUCCUGACAUUGAGGCACGAAGGCCAGGGAGCAAACGGG
rnacentral:rRNA from 1 species